rnacentral:rRNA from 1 species
CCCUUAGAUGUUCUGGGCCGCACGCGUGCUACACUGAACGGUUCAAUGGGUAAGGUAGUGCGAAAGCAUGACCUAAUCUCGAAAUCCGUUCGUGCUGGGGAUAGAAGCUUGCAAUUAUCCUUCUUGAACGAGGAAUACCUUGUAAGCGUGAGUCAUCAUCUCACGCUGAAUACGUCCCUGCCCUUUGUACACACCGCCCGUCGCUCCUACCGAUUGAGUGUUCCGGUGAGGCUUUGGGAGAAUGGCCUCAACAUGAGUUUAUCGUGUUUUGCCGUUUGAACUUAGUCAAACCUUAUCACUUGGAGGAAGGAGAAGUCGUAACA